AUGGCCCUUGAGGGGAAAAAUAAUGAAUGCAGGAAGCAAGACUAAAAACGUGUACAAUUACAUGAUUUAAAAGAUUUUGCAAGAAAACCCACCAUGGUAUCAAGCCGAUUAUCAGAAGACCAGCAAGUACAACGCUUUCCCGGGAACGUUUUGGUAAUAGGACUUUCAAACUAGCAACUUGAGUCAAAGUAAGAAACAUGCUUUGGCUCUGAGGACCCAUCAGCUAAUAUUAACACGGGAAAGAGAAAGAACAGGUUGACAGGAAGCCCCAGCUCUCCCCUGAUUCCAUUCAGGAGAUCAUUAAGGAAGGAGUCUUGCUGUAAAGUACACCUUUUUUCCUCCGAUGACAGUGACAACCAGGGCGACUUGAGUCAGGGGCCAACCAGCUCUCCUUUGACAAACAAACACCCACUCUGUUUCCCUCUACAUAGCAUGUGCCAUAAAUACCACAUUUCAAAGAUGAAGCAGAGGCACAAGGAUUGAACAAGAAUAUUGAUGAGACGAAGGCCUGCAACAAGGACCUUCAAACACAGUGGCUCCAAGAAUACAGCUCACCUCCAUGUUUCGCCUGCUGCCUUUAGAAACACUAAGUGGAUGUUCCUGGAGGCUUUACUGACUGAGCCGUGUUCUCAGCCUCACCUUGAAGAAUCUCAACUGGAGUUCUGACACUACCGUGAGGUGAGCACUAAGCACCUAUCUACUAUUGUUCCAGCUUUACCUUUGAUGAAGAAAGAUCUAAGAAAAGCCAGAUUCUCAACCUGACCCCAAUGGUA